GAGGGAGACAAAGCUCGAGCAACUGAUUUGAGCUAGUGGAGAAGUCAAGCAUUAAGGCUUUAAGGAAAGCGGAGGCUAGGAGAACUGAAGGCUAGCCCAGGUUUGAUAUCCAACAGGCGACGCGAGGAGUGGUGCGGAAUAGGUAGCUAUUACCGGUGGUGUGGACUUGAUCUCGGGAAGCAAAGAGUUGUAACCCUCCUAUCUUUUAUUUC